AUGGCGGAGCUGGGUCUCCAGGAGGAAGAUAUGGGUGAUGUAGUGGUGGAUGAAGAGGCUGUCCCCCAACAUGCUGCUAGAUGGACGGCAGUGGCACGUGUUCACAUCGACAAACCCUACAGUCAGGGGUGGUUUUUCAGGAAUAUGAGAUCAGCUUGGGAUCUAGCGCAGACUGUGAACUUCAAGCCCCUGGAAGCAAACCUGUACACGAUGCAAUUCCACUGCCUUGCCGAUUGGGAAAGAGUUACGCAGGAGGGACCUUGGAAUUUUAGAGGUCAUGCAGUCAUCAUAUCCCCCUAUGAUGGGGUGACGCAGCCUUCUAAGGUGAAGCUUGACACGAUAGAUAUAUGGAUUUAG
rnacentral:rRNA from 1 species